AUACCGUGAUGAGGGCACUUUCUCAAUAAUUCCUUAAAUAUCUCCCACACUUCAUACAAUGACUCCCUAUCGGUCUGGAAGAAGUUAUUAAUCUCCCCUCUUAACUU